rnacentral:rRNA from 1 species
GACGAACGCUGGCGGCGUGCUUAACACAUGCAAGUCGAACGGAAAGGCCCUGCUUUUGUGGGGUGCUCGAGUGGCGAACGGGUGAGUAACACGUGAGUAACCUGCCCUUGACUUUGGGAUAACUUCAGGAAACUGGGGCUAAUACCGGAUAGGAGCUCCUGCUGCAUGGUGGGGGUUGGAAAGUUUCGGCAGUUGGGGAUGGACUCGCGGCUUAUCAGCUUGUUGGUGGGGUAGUGGCUUACCAAGGCUUUGACGGGUAGCCGGCCUGAGAGGGUGACCGGCCACAUUGGGACUGAGAUACGGCCCGGACUCCUACGGGAGGCAGCAGUGGGGAAUAUUGCACAAUGGGCGGAAGCCUGAUGCAGCAACGCCGCGUGCGGGAUGACGGCCUUCGGGUUGUAAACCGCUUUCGCCUGUGACGAAGCGUGAGUGACGGUAAUGGGUAAAGAAGCACCGGCUAACUACGUG